GCGGGGCUCCGCGCUUUACGCCUCCUUACUGCGCGCCGCGGCAGGGGGCAGAGAUGAGAAGGGGUGGGGGGACCGAGCAGCGGCGGCUGGAGCGCGGCGGCUGCGUGUGUGUGUGUGUGUGUAUGUGUGUGUGCCCCCCCGCCGAACGGGGAGUCAGGUGGGACAUGCACACAGACGCGCGCAUGCAGCCCCCCCCCCCCCCCCCCCUCCGUCCCCGCACUCCCGGCCCCUUCCCCGCUUUCCUCCUUUGCCUUCAUCCUUCCCUCUCUCCUUUAUUUAUUUCCACGCCCGCCCUCCGACGCUGCCCCCCGCAGCCCCUCCCGGGCAGCGACCUCCGAACCGCGGGAGCGACCUCCCGGGACGGGGCCUUGCGGCGUAAGGGCACGCAGCCCCCGGGGUCGCCGCCCCGUCGGGUCCCGCCACACCGCACGUUGUCGGGAGCCGCGCAUCCCCCCCACCCCCCCGCCCCGGUCUCGGCUGCUGUGUCACCUGGCACCAUGUGCUCCUCAGCAGCGCUGUUUGAGAAUUGUCUCUAUUCGUGGAACUUCUCCGUGGGGAGGGACUUUUAUCUUUUGUUUUUAAGCCCUUCUUUCCCAUCUUUGCCACUGCACAAUUUGGAUGUGGAGUUCCUGGAAAGUGAACGCUGGCAAUAAGUGCAGCUUUCCCUGAAAGCUGAGGCUGCUGCUUAUUCCCUACUGAGAAGAGAGAGGGGAUCGUGGAUGUCAGCUCCAUCUUUCUUUCUUUCUUUCUUUCUUUCUUUCUUUCUUUCUUUCUUUCUUUCUUUCUUUCUUUCUUUCUUUCUUUCUUUCUUUCUUUCUUUCUUUCUUUCUUUCUUUCUUUCUUUCUUUCUUUCUCUCUCUCUCUCUCUCUCUCUCUCUCUCUCUCUCUCUCUCUCUCUUUCUCUCUUUCUCUCUUUCUUUUUUUCCCCUUCUUUUUAUCUUUUCCUUUAUUUUGACUUUGAGGUGCAUUUUCUCUUCCUGCUCUGGGAAUUGGCAGAUACAGUUCCUGUAGGCAACUUUGCAUCAAGACAGAGACUGUGAAGUUGAUACCUCAGUGCUUUUCUUAGCUGUGCUCUUCUAUUAAUUGGUGUUAGAAAGUGCAACCUUGUAGCACAGUUAUUGAAUAAUCAUUAAUCUGUGGAGGAUACACAAGCCCAAAGGUUAAUAAUAACAAUUAAUAAUAGUGACUUUGCUAGCAGGGAGACUAUUUUCUCAUAGUUAUUAAAAGGCACUCCCAUUUAUGCUAUGUAUGGAGAGGUGAAUUUGGCCCUGGUGUGCUGAAUACCACUUUACCGCAGCAAGCCCACAGAUGAAUCCUCCCCAUUAUCUCCAUGCUGUCAGGUCUCUCGCUUUUUCUCCCUUUAAAAUGUAUCAAACACUGCUCUCAUUUUAAAUAGAAAUGCUCAGGCUUUAAUCAAUUCUGACAUUUCCACUGGAAAAUAACAUCUAGCUCUCUUACACAGAUAAAAAUUUAUUUGCCUGCAGCUGGUCUGCUGUAGCGCUUUGGACCUAUUCGCUUCUCAGAGAAGACUUGGCUUUUCAUGGUCUCUAGGUACCACGGGGCAAUAAAUAGAAAGUCAGUGCAAGGGGGAUGUUCACACUUUUACAGUCACAACUCUCCGCUGCCUCCUCGCUGAGCUCUUCUGUCUGCCUAACCAGCAUGCUCCUGUUGUCCAAGACCCAUCUCCUUUAUUUGUAUCACACCCCUGUCUGGCUGGUCAGUGAAUCUUAAUAAUAAUCAUGUUUCAUGUCUCAGAAAUCUAAUAAUCAAGUUACUCAUUCGUAUAAAUUGCAACUAAGCUGUUUGGAUUCGUUGUGUUAUCCCCACUUUAAAGGCACGGAAACUGAAACAGAAAAAUUAACACAUUUGCCUGAGGCCACACAUGGAUUGAAGAGUAUGUCCAGCACUGGAACUGAAUUCUGUAUUUAGACCAUGCUUCCUCUUAAAGAUUGUGAAGCACACUGUGGAAAAUGUUUUUAAAGAAAGGAAUGUAGUAUAAACCUUAUUUUCCAUUGACUUUGUAUACUAGUCAAAUUGCAUGCCUUUUUUUUUUUUUUUUGGGGGGGGGGGGGGGGGGGAGGUUUAAUAUAUAUCACGUUUCCUUUUCUAAAUACAAGAUUUAUUCGACUUUUGACAAAGCACGGUGGAACCUUUCAGUUGCAGUCAGCUUACUGUGGAAACAAGAAACAUUUACUGUGAGAUUGUGAGCAGUAAUGGGAACAGAAUUGCUUGUUAUUAGGUUAUUGUAAACAGUAUCCAUUGGAUGUUACGGUGUAGUUGUAGGCCAGCACAAUAUUAUGAGAAGUUCAGCACUAGUACAGAUAAGGUGCUAUUGCUUACCUGGCGUGCAUCAGUUUCCACCGUAAUUCUCCUUCAGUGCUUUCAGCAGCAAAAUACUUAGUGUGGGUUUAAGCACUGAAAAACAUGUGGGACAGCCAUAUACUGUGAGAGUUAUGAUUUAUAUCAUUAAGCAGUGAGUCUUGCAGUGUUGUGUCACUCAUGUCAAUGAAGCAAGAAGUAUACUGCCGGCCCUUUAGCUGUGGCAUGUCAUCAAAGCUAUAUUAUGGUAUGACUGAGCACAGAUGGCAUGUCUAAAAAGCAGGUGUACAAUAUAACUUUCAUAUUACUGACACGUAGAUAUUUCCUCUUCCUCAGUGUCCAUUCCCAGAUGUUUGCUUGCCCAACCUUCUACAGGAACUAAAGAAAGUCCUGCUCAUCCUGCUCAUCCUUCAUGUCUGGAAUUGUAUCAUCAAAACCCAUAGAGAAUAUGUGUUUAUAUAUAUUUGUAUGUAUUUAUGCUGACAGCUCCUUUCUGAGGUUUUUUUCAGUCCUGAUUUGAGGAAAGUGGAUGCAGAUCUCACUCAAAUAAUCUUUCUCCAAUACUAUCAACAUUGCCUGCCAAAAAUAAAAGUGGCAUAUGAAUCACAAUAAUUCACUCAUGAUUUGGUGGAUUUAAAGCCUGCGAAGGAGCAUUAGAAAUCCACAUGGUGCUCCUGAGCUUUAUGGACUUUGAAUGGUGGUGAGGUAAUGAAACUGUUGAAUCUGCAGACUGAAACCGUCAGAAGCCUUUCCUGAGGUGCCCCUUACUGAAAUGCUACUGUGGCAUAAUGAUUUGGAAAUAAGCUUUUGUGUGAGAAGAGCUAUCGGAUCCUCUGGGAAACAUUACAGAUACUUUCCAGUUCCUUUCAGACAUGCCCUGAUGCUGCACAGUACCUCAAUCCAUUCAGCUUCUCUUCAAGAUGGUAACUACUUUCCGCUCCACAUCUCUGCUGCAGAAGAUCUUGUGAUUACCUGAAAAAGUGAAUUGCAUCCUGUAGAUUUCCCCUUAAAACUUCUGCUUCACAGAAGAGAUCAGCUUGUGACAGAUGCGUCAGCAAUGUCAGACUCACUUCUCUGUUGCCUAAUUGCCCUCUCCACCUUCUGUCAAUCUGAAACUCUCAUUUUGGAAAGGAUUGAAGGAGUUGUAUUAAUAUUUGUGCUAUCCACAUUUUUCCUGCAUAUUGUCUGCUCCUUCCCUUGGUGUCUGGUUUGUCUUGGCUGCUUUUAAAAAUUCUGUUGCCUCUAGUGAGGGACUGCCAGAUUAAACCAGUACAGAGAAUCCAGGUGACUGUCUACUUUUACAAAUAUAGGUUGUGUAUAAUAAAUUCAGGUUUUACAUCUAUGCAAAUUAAGUCAUCAUAUGAUUAUGACUACAUGCAUUUUUUUUAUCAAAUAUGGCAUAUAUUUCACAAAUUAUAUUUAACUUAUACACAUGUUGCUAUUCUGAAUACCUGACUAGGAAUUACAAAGUGUGUCACUAGAUCUUAGUAAGUGGGCUUAUGGAACAAGAAGAAAUAAGAGAAAAUCACCUCUUUUCCUUGCAUUCCUGACAAGUCCAGUGUAAGGGCUUUUCCUACUCUAGAUGGCAAUAUAAACACCUUACCACAGAGCUGUUGAGAGAUAAAAGUACAUCUUGUUGUUGGAAACUUAAAGAAUGUAUGAAAAACAAAACAAAAUACCCUAAAAAAGGAAGUUUUAAAGUAAUGUGUCUUUGGUCUAGUGUUUGUCACAUCUACUUGGUAUGGCCUUCCUCUAAUGUUUCAGUCAUGCAGUGUAAGACAUUAGUCACAAUGUCAAAAUAAGCACAUUACUUCUGCAAAAAUGUAUUUUCACCUCAGGAAUAUUGUGAAGUGAAAAUAGGAUUUAGCACAAUUCUUCCUUUUGAGUUUUUCUACAGACAGGACAGUUUUAGUGUAAAGCUCUAAAUCUUGCAAGAUUAUUCCCAGCAUUAGGUACGACACAUCUGGAAGAAUCUGCCAACUGAGUGCUGGCAAGGAUUACGCUGAGAAGGUAACAACUCAGUGCUUUCACUGUUAACCGUCCUCCACAACUGCUGUUUUUUGGUGUUUUUGUGUGUGUGUGUUCGUUUGUUUCUUUGUUUUCCGAAUAAAUAAACAAAUACUUUGUUGAGCUCAAGAUGUCUCUGUCAGUAUUUAUAUUUCAGACUGCAGGAGAAUCUGAUCUGGAUGGAUGUACAAUUCAGGUGGAACUUAGGUGUGAUCCAGAAAACCUCUGCUAAACAGAGGCAGUUGCUAAACCUCAAAGCAGUAUGUUACACCUCUAAAUUCACCCUUUUCCAUCUGGGAAUGCCAGGCUACCUUUUGGGCCUGCUCAUGUCCAAGUCCUCUGGACCCCAGAUCUACGAUGUUUUGUUCCUCCACCCAAAUCAUUUAAUUGGCACAACCUGAUCCCUAC
ensembl:lncRNA